rnacentral:rRNA from 1 species
UACGGAGGGUGCGAGCGUUAUUCGGAAUUACUGGGCGUAAAGCGCGUGUAGGCGGGGGGUCAAGUCUGAUGUGAAAGCCCUGGGCUUAACCUGGGAAGAGCAUUGGAAACUGUUUGACUAGAGUACUGGAGAGGGAGGGGGAAUUCCCGGUGUAGAGGUGAAAUGCGUAGAGAUCGGGAGGAAUACCAGUGGCGUAGGCGCCCUUCUGGACGGUAACUGACGCUGAGACGCGAAAGCGUGGGGAGCAAACAGG